AGUGAACGCUGGCGGUAGGCCUAACACAUGCAAGUCGAACGGCAGCACAGUAAGAGCUUGCUCUUACGGGUGGCGAGUGGCGGACGGGUGAGGAAUACAUCGGAAUCUACUUUUUCGUGGGGGAUAACGUAGGGAAACUUACGCUAAUACCGCAUACGACCUACGGGUGAAAGCAGGGGAUCUUCGGACCUUGCGCGAUUGAAUGAGCCGAUGUCGGAUUAGCUAGUUGGCGGGGUAAAGGCCCACCAAGGCGACGAUCCGUAGCUGGUCUGAGAGGAUGAUCAGCCAAAACGGAAAUGAGAAACGGUCCAGACUCCUACGGGAGGCAGCAGUGGGGAAUAUUGGACAAUGGGCGCAAGCCUGAUCCAGCCAUACCGCGUGGGUGAAGAAGGCCUUCGGGUUGUAAAGCCCUUUUGUUGGGAAAGAAAAGCAGCAGGUUAAUACCCCGCUGUUCUGACGGUACCCAAAGAAUAAGCACCGGCUAACUUCGUG
rnacentral:rRNA from 1 species